rnacentral:lncRNA from 1 species
AGGGGAAAAUUCUCAGUGGAAGUUUUGUUUGAAGGUCAGGUAUUUCGAAACUUUUACCAGUAGAGAAAAGCCUGCGAAGGCGAAUGUUGAAUUUUUAGUUUUUACGAAAAUUUUAUCAUACCAUUUUCGAUCGGUACUUUUGAACAAGUGCGCAACUUUGAAUUUCGCGGCACAUUGGGGUAAAUGUGGCAACAUCCGUUCAAGAAUCAACGCAUACAGCGCUGUCUUACGUGCACGUCGUUUCCGCGAACUACAAAUUCAAAAGUUUUCGGCAAUGUGCUGCAGUGCAGCCGUGAGUUUUGUUUUGUAACGGUUUAAAGAUUCUUUAAUGUCGUUGUUUUAGUUUUAAUUUACUUAUUCCUAAAUAUUUGUGGAAAGAAAAACCAUGGGUUCAACGUCUGGCAUUAGUGCAGAUCAUUUAAUUUCAGGAGUUUCUAUUGGAGAGAACUUGAGGCCAGGAGGACCUACCGUACUGAAUCAUAGUCUAAAUACCACGUAUGAGUAUGAGGAAGAGGAUUCUAGUUACUCCAAUCAAAGUAGAAACUUGAAUCUUACGUGUCUUGCGGAUCAGCUGAACAAUUUGCACUUAGGCACUCCGUGUCCUCCGAAAAAAAAUCCAUUCAGCUCUGCCAAUACAUUCUUCACAGGAUCUGAGAGUGGUAACUCCUCGUACAAGUCUGCUCAAAACUUUGAUGAGUCUGAAAGUAGUCUGAGUGUGUCAGGCAUAGAGAUUAGCAACGGCUUGAAAACUCCAUCUUCGGAGUCGCCUCCCGCUAGUUCAAAUGUUGACAGAACUCCAAUUCAGCUUAUCGAAGAAGUAACACCACUCAGGGAAACGUCUCUGUUGAAUGAUAAUAUUGGUGAAAAGACUCCAAUCUUAAUUGCUAACGAAGAGAGAGAAAACCCUCCAGACGAAGAAGAGUUUGAGGUAAAUUUUCAGGCAAACCUCAGCGCCAUAGAGGAAGAACAGCCUGAGUCAGAGGGAGAAGACACUUUCUACACCAAUUCUGAAGUACCCUCUGUGGAAAAGGAAGAGUCAACAUCUGGUAACAAAUACCUCUCUGCCAAGUCAUCUACCGAUACAGAAAAUCAAGUAGAUGAUGCUAUAAGCUCAGAUCUCUCUGAAGGAAGUUGCAAAGUUCAGAAAGAAUCGGAUACAUGUGACCUAAACCGCAGCAAGGAUAUUUCUAAGAUUAAUGUGCCCGAAAAUUCCCCCGGAGAAGAAGUUGUUUCACCGUCCUUGUCGCAAGAGGAACCAACGAGCCAAUUUGAACUGUCUGCAAAACUUGACGUCGAAAAUACUCAGUCAGAAAAUUGUGUCAGUUCAUCAGGGCUUUCAGUGGACUCAGAGCAAGCAGCUACGCAUUCUGUCAAACCAGCUCAAUUAAAAAAUUCAGAAAAUCGUAGUUGCUCAUCAGAAGAGCAAAACACUUCAGCCAGAGACUUAACCGGUGAUCCAAAACAAGUAAAGGAGUCUCAGCAAGUAACACAACAGCCCGAGGAGACUAUUUCUCCCAAAGAAUCACCCAAGAUAAGGGAUGAGAAAUUCUCAGAACUAGAAAAUGGUAGUAGCCCUCCUGAACAAGGAAUUACUGCCCUUGAACAGUCUGAAAAAUGCCCUCUGAAUGAUUUAGAAAAGGUUCCUGAUAAGCAAGGUGAAGAUAAAGAUAAGAAACCUGAAAAGUACACGAGCCCACCAGAAUCGUGCCGAGUUUCUCCACCUGAAAAAGGUACCCAGUUUGAAGUACAAAUCGACCAACUGAAGCAAUCUCCCGAGCCAAGCAGCACAGAACUUACUAGUGAUGACAAAAAACUUGGCCAUGAAAAGAUAGAAGAUUCCUCUCUUGUGGAAGUAAUCAAUAAACCGCAAGAAUUGCACUCAUGCCCAGUUAAGCAAACUAGUCCUUCAAAAUCUGAAAAAAUCAACGAUGCACCGAAAGAUUUAGCUCAGUCAGAGGCACAGCAAACAAGUAUCAGUUAUCCGAAAACUGAAGCAGUUCAGCCUACUGAAAACUUGGAAAGCGCAAAAACCGGACUGUUCGAACAAUCCCUUGAUUUAGACCCCGAGACAGUUCGAUCUCUAGAAUUGUUCAAAGCGUCAAAAAAAAGUCAGCUGAAAGUGAUCGACUUUCUUUGGAUUCGGAGAAACAGGAGACAUUCUUAG